GACGAACGCUGGCGGCGUGCCUAAUACAUGCAAGUUGAGCGAUGAAGAUUGGUGCUUGCACCAAUUUGAAGAGCAGCGAACGGGUGAGUAACGCGUGGGGAAUCUGCCUUUGAGCGGGGGACAACAUUUGGAAACGAAUGCUAAUACCGCAUAACAACUUUAAACAUAAGUUUUAAGUUUGAAAGAUGCAAUUGCAUCACUCAAAGAUGAUCCCGCGUUGUAUUAGCUAGUUGGUGAGGUAAAGGCUCACCAAGGCGAUGAUACAUAGCCGACCUGAGAGGGUGAUCGGCCACAUUGGGACUGAGACACGGCCCAAACUCCUACGGGAGGCAGCAGUAGGGAAUCUUCGGCAAUGGACGAAAGUCUGACCGAGCAACGCCGCGUGAGUGAAGAAGGUUUUCGGAUCGUAAAACUCUGUUGGUAGAGAAGAACGUUGGUGAGAGUGGAAAGCUCAUCAAGUGACAGUAACUACCCAGAAAGGGACGGCUAACUACGUG
rnacentral:rRNA from 1 species